UAGGGAAUCUUCCGCAAUGGACGAAAGUCUGACGGAGCAACGCCGCGUGAGUGAAGAAGGAUUUCGGUUCGUAAAACUCUGUUGUUAGGGAAGAAAAAAUGUAUAGUAACUAUAUACAAAAGAGACGGUACCUAACCAGAAAGCCACGGCUAACUACGUGCCAGCAGCCGCGGUAAUACGUAGGUGGCAAGCGUUGUCCGGAAUUAUUGGGCGUAAAGCGCGCGCAGGUGGUUUAGAAAGUCUGAUGUGAAAGCCCACGGCUCAACCGUGGAGGGUCAUUGGAAACUAAUAAACUUAAGUGCAGGAGAGAAAAGUGGAAUUCCUAGGGUAGCGGUGAAAUGCGUAGAGAUUAGGAGGAACACCGGUGGCGAAAGCGGCUUUUUGGCCUGCAACUGACACUGAGGCGCGAAAGCGUGGGGAGCAAACAGG
rnacentral:rRNA from 1 species